rnacentral:rRNA from 1 species
CCCUAGCGGCGAACGGGUGAGUAACACGUGGGCAACCUGCCCCUAGCACUGGGAUAACUCCGGGAAACCGGGGCUAAUACCGGAUAUGACCCUUGGCGGCAUCGUCGAGGGUGUAAAGGAUUCUGGCUAGGGAUGGGCCCGCGGCCUAUCAGCUUGUUGGUGGGGUAAUGGCCUACCAAGGCGACGACGGGUAGCCGGCCUGAGAGGGCGACCGGCCACACUGGGACUGAGACACGGCCCAG